rnacentral:lncRNA from 1 species
GUUUUUCUAGGUAGAAUACGAGAGUAAGCCUGUAAGUCAAAAUUGUAAUUCUCUAAUAUUGAACUUUAAAGUAUAGUUACCCAUGAGCUCCCUCAUAGGGACAUAGUAUCCACUAAAGAAGACGUCACCUAUUCAAUCCAGUGCACCCCGUGAUGAGCUAGAUACGUCAACAUAGUAUUUUUUUUUUUUGAUCAAGGAGAAGUACAUGCUUUUUUUACCCUUUUUUUCAUGAAAGUUUUGAGGGUUAGGAUCGUUGAACUUACGCUAGACAUUCGGACUUCCGAAUUUUCAUGAAGGCGGCCCAUUUUCGUUCUAAUUGAAUAGUUCUCCACCAUUUUCUCUAAAACGACCAAUAGAUUUCGAAC